rnacentral:rRNA from 1 species
AUUGAACCCUGGGCUUCUUUCACUGCAAUCGGACGGAGCGGAUGCAUACUGCCGGGAGUGCGAACGGUGAGUAAUCUACUGGAACGACGAGUAAUGGGGGAUAACCAGUGAAAGUAUUGGAUAAUACCGCUACGCCUGAGGGAAUCAGGGGACCUUCGGGCCUUGCUUAUUCGACGACCAAUAUCUAUUAGCUAGUUGGUGGGGUAAGGCUUACCAAGGCACGAUCAGUAGCGGCUGAGAGGUUGAUCCGCCACACUGGGACUGAGACACGGCCCAGACUCCUACGGGAGGCAGCAGUGGGGAUUUUGGACAAUGGGCGCAAGCCUGAUCCAGCCAUGCCGCGUGUCUGAAGAAGGCUUUCGG